AGUGAACGCUGGCUGUAGGCCUAACACAUGCAAGUCGAACGGCAGCACAGUAAGAGCUUGUUCUUACGGGUGGCGAGUGGCGGACGGGUGAGGAAUACAUCGGAAUCUACUUUUUCGGGGGGGAUAACGUAGGGAAACUUACGCUAAUACCGCUUAGGACCUACGGGGGAAAGCAGGGGAUCUUCGGCCCUUGGGGGAUGGAAGGAGCCGAUGUCGGAUUAGCUAGUUGGCGGGGUAAAGGCCCACCAAGGCGACGAUCCGUAGCUGGUCUGAGAGGAUGAUCAGCCACACUGGAACUGAGACACGGUCCAGACUCCUACGGGAGGCAGCAGUGGGGAAUAUUGGACAAUGGGCGCAAGCCUGAUCCAGCCAUACCGCGUGGGUGAAGAAGGCCUUCGGGUUGUAAAGCCCUUUUGUUGGGAAAGAAAAGCAGCAGGUUAAUACCCCGCUGUUCUGACGGUACCCAAAGAAUAAGCACCGGCUAACUUCGUG
rnacentral:rRNA from 1 species